AUUGAACGCUGGCGGCAUGCUUUACACAUGCAAGUCGAACGGCAGCGCGGGGGCAACCCUGGCGGCGAGCGGCGAACGGGUGAGUAAUGUAUCGGAACGUACCCAGUCGUGGGGGAUAACUAUCCGAAAGGAUAGCUAAUACCGCAUACGACCUGAGGGUGAAAGCGGGGGACCGAAAGGCCUCGCGCGAUUGGAGCGGCCGAUAUCGGAUUAGCUAGUUGGUGAGGUAAAGGCUCACCAAGGCGACGAUCCGUAGCUGGUCUGAGAGGACGACCAGCCACACUGGAACUGAGACACGGCCCAGACUCCUACGGGAGGCAGCAGUCGAGAAGCUUCGGCAAUGGGCGGAAGCCUGACCGAGCGACGCCGCGUGAGCGAUGAAGGCCUUAGGGUCGUAAAGCUCUGUCAGGAGGGAAUAAAUACCCGCGGUUAAUACCCGCGGGGGUUGAAGGGUACCUCCAGAGGAAGCGCCGGCUAACUACGUGCCAGCAGCCGCGGUAAU
rnacentral:rRNA from 1 species